rnacentral:rRNA from 1 species
AAGUGCUAAGGUAGCAUAAUCACUUGCCUUUUAAUUGGAGGCUAGAAUGAACGGAUCUAUAAGUUAUUCCUUUAUUACAAGUAACCCUAAAACCUAAACUUUAUGUGAAAAGACAUAAAUAAACAAAAAAGACCAAAAGACCCUAGGAGCUUAAAUUUUCCCACACUUGUGUGCUAUAAAUUUUUAUUGGGGCGAUAAGGGAUACCCCUCCCUCCCCUUCACAUUUUAAACCUUUUUUAUCAAGAUAUAGCUACCCUAGGGAUAACAGGCUACUCUUUUUUAAAAGUUCACAUUAACAAAAAGAUCUUGCACCUCGAUGUUGGCUUAGGAGUCAGUAAAA